UGUUAUCGCUUGUGCAGGACAUAUCUGAGAAACAACCAAGCCUCAUGAGAAAACCAUCACUGAAGGCAAUACAUAAUGAAAGAUGAUUGCAGUCCACAUCUAUCUAGAUUGUACAAAUGCAAAAGACAAUAGUUUCUAACUGAAAGAUGAGGGGUAUCUUGAAAUGCCACAAUAACACAAAUAUACAACUUUGACACAAAUUAAAAUAACCAGAUAAUUUCGUUAUUGGUCAGUAUUGCCCCAUUAGAAUCCGCACUCAUCAUAGGAUGCAGCAGUCCAUGGAGUUUCACUACCUUGAACAAUUUAAAAUAAAAACUGUAAUAUGUUUGAGCCACAUACACCUAGAAAUGCAAAAGAGGAGAA
rnacentral:misc_RNA from 1 species